rnacentral:rRNA from 1 species
AGAGUUUGAUCCUGGCUCAGAACGAACGCUGGCGGCAUGCCUAACACAUGCAAGUCGAACGAGCCCUUCGGGGUUAGUGGCGCACGGGUGCGUAACGCGUGGGAAUCUGCCCCUUGGUUCGGAAUAACAGCUAGAAAUGGCUGCUAAUACCGGAUGACGACGUAAGUCCAAAGAUUUAUCGCCGAGGGAUGAGCCCGCGUAGGAUUAGCUAGUUGGUGGGGUAAAGGCCUACCAAGGCGACGAUCCUUAGCUGGUCUGAGAGGAUGAUCAGCCACACUGGGACUGAGACACGGCCCAGACUCCUACGGGAGGCAGCAGUGGGGAAUAUUGGACAAUGGGCGAAAGCCUGAUCCAGCAAUGCCGCGUGAGUGAUGAAGGCCUUAGGGUUGUAAAGCUCUUUUACCCGGGAUGAUAAUGACAGUACCGGGAGAAUAAGCCCCGGCUAACUCCGUGCCAGCAGCCGCGGUAAUACGGAGGGGGCUAGCGUUGUUCGGAAUUACUGGGCGUAAAGCGCACGUAGGCGGCUUUGUAAGUUAGAGGUGAAAGCCUGGAGCUUAACUCCAGAAUUGCCUUUAAGACUGCAUCGCUUGAAUCCGAGAGAGGUGAGUGGAAUUCCGAGUGUAGAGGUGAAAUUCGUAGAUAUUCGGAAGAACACCAGUGGCGAAGGCGGCUCACUGGCUCGGUAUUGACGCUGAGGUGCGAAAGCGUGGGGGAGCAAACAGGAUUAGAUACCCUGGUAGUCA